rnacentral:rRNA from 1 species
CCUACGGGAGGCAGCAGUGAGGAAUAUUGGUCAAUGGACGAGAGUCUGAACCAGCCAAGUAGCGUGAAGGAUGACUGCCCUAUGGGUUGUAAACUUCUUUUAUAUGGGAAUAAAAUGUUCCACGUGUGGGAUUUUGUAUGUACCAUAUGAAUAAGGAUCGGCUAACUCCGUGCCAGCAGCCGCGGUAAUACGGAUGAUCCGAGCGUUAUCCGGAUUGAUUGGGUUUAAAGGGAGCGUAGGUGGAUUGUUAAGUCAGUUGUGAAAGUUUGCGGCUCAACCGUAAAAUUGCAGUUGAAACUGGCAGUCUUGAGUACAGUAGAGGUGGGCGGAAUUCGUGGUGUAGCGGUGAAAUGCUUAGAGAUCACGAAGAACUCCGAUUGCGAAGGCAGCUCACUGGACUGCAACUGACACUGAGGCUCGAAAGUGUGGGUAUCAAACAGGAUUAGAUACCCCUGUAGUC